rnacentral:rRNA from 1 species
GAUGAACGCUGGCGGCGUGCCUAAUACAUGCAAGUCGAGCGAACGGACGAGAAGCUUGCUUCUCUGAUGUUAGCGGCGGACGGGUGAGUAACACGUGGAUAACCUACCUAUAAGACUGGGAUAACUUCGGGAAACCGGAGCUAAUACCGGAUAAUAUUUUGAACCGCAUGGUUCAAAAGUGAAAGACGGUCUUGCUGUCACUUAUAGAUGGAUCCGCGCUGCAUUAGCUAGUUGGUAAGGUAACGGCUUACCAAGGCAACGAUGCAUAGCCGACCUGAGAGGGUGAUCGGCCACACUGGAACUGAGACACGGUCCAGACUCCUACGGGAGGCAGCAGUAGGGAAUCUUCCGCAAUGGGCGAAAGCCUGACGGAGCAACGCCGCGUGAGUGAUGAAGGUCUUCGGAUCGUAAAACUCUGUUAUUAGGGAAGAACAUAUGUGUAAGUAACUGUGCACAUCUUGACGGUACCUAAUCAGAAAGCCACGGCUAACUACGUGCCAGCAGCCGCGGUAAUACGUAGGUGGCAAGCGUUAUCCGGAAUUAUUGGGCGUAAAGCGCCGCGUAGGCGGUUUUUUAGUCUGAUGUGAAAGCCCACGGCUCACUUUUGGAGGGUCAUUGGAAACUGGAAAACUUGAGUGCAGAAGAGAAAAGUGGAAUUCCAUGUGUAGCGGUGAAAUGCGCAGAGAUAUGGAGGAACACCAGUGGCGAAGGCGACUUUCUGGUCUGUAACUGACGCUGAUGUGCGAAAGCGUGGGGAUCAAACAGGAUUAGAUACCCUGGUAGUCCACGCCGUAAACGAUGAGUGCUAAGUGUUAGGGGGUUUCCGCCCCUUAGUGCUGCAGCUAACGCAUUAAGCACUCCGCCUGGGGAGUACGACCGCAAGGUUGAAACUCAAAGGAAUUGACGGGGACCCGCACAAGCGGUGGAGCAUGUGGUUUAAUUCGAAGCAACGCGAAGAACCUUACCAAAUCUUGACAUCCUUUGACAACUCUAGAGAUAGAGCCUUCCCCUUCGGGGGACAAAGUGACAGGUGGUGCAUGGUUGUCGUCAGCUCGUGUCGUGAGAUGUUGGGUUAAGUCCCGCAACGAGCGCAACCCUUAAGCUUAGUUGCCAUCAUUAAGUUGGGCACUCUAAGUUGACUGCCGGUGACAAACCGGAGGAAGGUGGGGAUGACGUCAAAUCAUCAUGCCCCUUAUGAUUUGGGCUACACACGUGCUACAAUGGACAAUACAAAGGGCAGCGAAACCGCGAGGUCAAGCAAAUCCCAUAAAGUUGUUCUCAGUUCGGAUUGUAGUCUGCAACUCGACUACAUGAAGCUGGAAUCGCUAGUAAUCGUAGAUCAGCAUGCUACGGUGAAUACGUUCCCGGGUCU